rnacentral:rRNA from 1 species
CCUACGGGGGGCAGCAGUGGGGGAUAUUGCACAAUGGGGGAAACCCUGAUGCAGCGACGCCGCGUGGGUGAAGAAGCGCCUCGGCGCGUAAAGCCCUGUCAGCAGGGAAGAGAAUGACGGUACCUGACGAAGAAGCCCCGGCUAACUACGUGCCAGCAGCCGCGGUAAUACGUAGGGGGCAAGCGUUAUCCGGAUUUACUGGGGGUAAAGGGGGCGUAGACGGCGAUGCAAGUCAGGAGUGAAAGCCCGGGGCCCAACCCCGGGACUGCUUUGGAAACUGCGUAGCUAGAGUGCAGGAGGGGUAGGCGGAAUGCCUGGUGUAGCGGUGAAAUGCGUAGAGAUCAGGAGGAACACCGGUGGCGAAGGCGGCCUGCUGGACAGCAACUGACGUUGAGGCCCGAAAGCGUGGGGAGCAAACAGGAUUAGAUACCCUUGUAGUC